rnacentral:rRNA from 1 species
AACGUAGGUGGCAAGCGUUAUCCGGAAUUACUGGGCGUAAAGCGUGCGCAGGCGGCUAUGCAAGACAGAUGUGAAAUCCCCGGGCUCAACCUGGGAACUGCAUUUGUGACUGCAUGGCUAGAGUACGGUAGAGGGGGAUGGAAUUCCGCGUGUAGCAGUGAAAUGCGUAGAUAUGCGGAGGAACACCGAUGGCGAAGGCAAUCCCCUGGACCUGUACUGACGCUCAUGCACGAAAGCGUGGGGAGCAAACAGG